CAUAAAACAUCUUUUUCCACAGGGAAUUCAUAUGUACUUAAAAUCCUCAGGACUAAUCCAGUCAAGUUUUGGCUAAAUAUUGGAGUAAAUUCUUAUGUUAAGAAGAUAAAACCUUCAGAAGAUCAAAUCGCUGGCUACAUUGAUGACCUUUGUAAGUACAUAUGUCCAGAGGGGGAUGCACCUCAGCAGUCACCUCGAAGCAAGGAAGACAAAAAUCAAACCAAAGAGAAAGCACUGCAACUCAUUACCUCCAAAUGUUUAGUUCCUGUAAUCAUCAGCAAAACGAAUUUGGAAACCACAUUCAGGAUUUUUCAGAAUGCAGAAGAAAACAAAAAGUUGGUUUAUAAACUGCUGUCAUAUCUCCUGAAAGAAUUGCUGCCUGGAGAGUCUGGUCUUGAUGUCACAUCCAAGCUUAAUGUGAAGCAUCCUGUGCAAUGAGUAGUUUUAAAUAUUGAUUAAAUGUAAUGUAACAUUUUAAGGGUUGUUAUUGUACUUGUAGUUGUAAUUGUAUUCAAAAGUAACAUGAAAAUGAAUACAAUCAUUAUCACUGAGCAUUUUACAGUUUAGGGCAUUACUUAAGGGCUUAUCUGGCAACUCUGGGACUUAAACCCUGUUUACACCUGAAUGUAGGUACCUUAAAAUUGCCACCUAAUUUUGACAUUUUUGUGUAAAACUGCAUGAAAAAUGUAUUCAUUUUAUAAUGAAAGGUUAUACAGAAACCCCUAAAAUAAAAAAAAUGAUGUCUUCAGAGUAACCUUUAAUGUAAAAGAUAUACUAUUUAAAAAGAAUUAAGUUCUAAGAGGUGCUUGGUUGGCACAACGGACUAGUGCACUAGUCCACCACCACUGAGAUCAGGAUAAGAUUGGAUUGUGAAAGUGAAUGACAAUGAAUCUUAAAUCCUGCUUUAGUGGCUUUUAUUGGUUUUAAAUUAUUUGGUUAAUUUGAUAUAUAAUGUUCACAUUGACCGAAAUAUGUUCUAAUGAAUGGUACAAAUAUUUAC